GAGGGAGGCGGGAGAGAGGCGAGGGAAGCUGGGGAGGAGGGAGGAGAGCGAGCCGCGCUGCCAGCCGAUGGAGGGCAACCUUCACUCUGGAUUAGUUCUCUACACCUAACAUUGCGGCGCUCUGCGGCACGGGGAACCCCAGCAGGAGGGUCAUUGAUGCAACAGUUGCUUGUCCUAAUAGGAUGAAAGGGACUCCAAACUGCUACUGAAGAUACUAAUGGUCUCCCAGGCAGCCAAUGAGAGAAGAGGAACAGCGGCAGACUGAGCGGCUAUUGGCUGCAUGGAAAAUAAGCUGUAGUUUCUCUCUCAGCCAAUGAAAAAAGGCACAAGAAGAGUCAAAUAUGAUUCUUACUUUCAGAGAGGUAAUAAGGGUUAGCACUACUGAAAAGAAAUCUAACGUUUUUCCCCAGAAUUCUGACUUUUAAAUUUUCAUAAUUAUGGUUUUAAUUAAAAUUCUGACUUUCAUCUAAACUUUCUGAGUAGCAAUCUAAAAAUUCUAAACUUAAUCUUACAAUUCUGACUUUCUUCUUUUGGAAUUCUGACUUUCCCCAGAAUUCUGACUUUAAUUGAAAACUUAGAAGUGUAAUCUAAGAAUUCUGACUUUUCCACGUUCAGAAUUCUUUCCCUUUAAUUUUCUGAAUUCUGACUUAAAAAUUCUGCUUUUUUCCCCUCAAAAUUCUAACUUGAAUUUAAAAUUUCUGAGUCUUCAUCCAAAAAUUAUGACUUUAAUCUUUGGAGUCUGACUUUUAUCCACAGAAUUCUGUCUUUUUCCCAUUCUCACUUUAAUUUCAGAACUUUAAUCUAAAAAAAAUUAGCUUUUUUUGUUUUCAGAAUUCUGUCUUUUAUCUAAGAAUUUUGACUUUCAUUUCUGAAUUUUGACAUUUUUCUCAGAGUUUCAGCUUCGCAAAAUGCAUUAAUUUUCAAACAUUUUAAAUUUUCCCCAUAAGAAAAAGUCAGUGAAUAGGCAUAUUUUAUGAAAAUAAUUUUUAGUUAUGUUCCACAGUCUGCAAAUAAGUAAAUCAGUGAACAGUGAACUGUAAAUGGACAUCAGAUUUCGUGAUGGCUUUGGGGGUUUGUUCAAGACAGUUAGUGAAUAAACGGUUUCAUGAAGACCAAGAAAA